AUGGAAGAAGAGGCAAUUAAGUUCUACCAGCACCUCUUUACAGCUGACCUUCAUACUAGGCCGGAAAGGAUUACAGAAGUUAUUCAAAACAAAGUCACAAAUGUGAUGAAUGAGAGACUUUGUGCGCCAGUGACUGAUGAGGAGAUAGAAAAUGCAUUGUUUAUGAUGCAUCCCAGUAAGUCCCCUGGACCUGAUGGGUUUACGGCAGGUUUCUAUAUUCGGCACUGGAGUUUAUUGAAUCCUUCCAUAUGCGCGGCGAUAAGAUCAUUUUUUGAGACGGGUAAUAUGCCAGAGGCAAUUAACAAAACUGUACUAGUUUUGAUUCCAAAGAUAAAAGCUCCACAAGAUCUAAUGCAGUACAGGCCAAUUUCCUUGUGUAAGGUGCUUUAUAAAAUCGUGUCAAAGGUGAUGGCGAUCAGGUUGAGACCAAUCCUUGAUGAAAUUAUCUCUGAGGAGCAAAGUGCAUUUGUUCCAAACCGGCUUAUUUCAGACAAUGUGCUAACUGCAUAUGAAUGCAUUCACUAUCUGAAAAGAAAAAAGGGGAAGUCAGGAGCUUGUGCUAUCAAGCUUGAUAUGGCAAAAGCCUAUGAUAGGGUAGAGUGGCCUUAUCUUCGGGCAGUUCAAGCAAAACUUGGAUUUGCUGAUCAGUGGAUUGACAGAAUUAUGGCCUGUGUGGAAUCGGUGUCCUUCUCUGUUCGUGUCAAUGGGGUUUUCUCGGAGUCUUUUAAACCCACUCAUGGUAUUAGACAAGGCGACCCAAUUUCACCUUACCUGUUUCUUUUAUGUGCCGAGGGAUUAACAUGCUUGCUGAAAUCUUAUGGAUCUGCUCAUUUGCGUAAAGGAAUCAGGGUGGGUAUUCACGCCCCUUGGGUGUCACAUUUACUUUUAGCUGAUGACUGUCUGGUUUUUACUCAGGCAACAAGUGAUGAGGCAGCAAGACUGAAUGAAAUACUUGAGAUAUAUAAAGAAGGGUCAGGUCAGAGGGUUAACAAGACCAAGUCUGCAAUAUUUUUCAGCACAAACUGUAGUGAUGAAAUGAAAGUUGAAACUCAUAGUAACUCGGGCAUUGGGAUAGAAGCGUUAAUUGAGAAAUAUCUCGGUCUACCUACGGCAUUAGGAAGAUCAUCUGAUAGUCAGUUCGAACAUGUGGUAGUCCAAAUCAAGAAAUUGGUUAAUGGUUGGGCACCUAAAUUAAUGAGCAGUGCAGCCAGGGAAGUGCUCAUUAAAUCUAUAUGUCAAGCAAUACCAACUUACUCAAUGGGUUGUUUCAGGCUAUCCAAAAAAACAUGCAAAAAGAUCACUAGCAUUGUGGCAAAGUUCUGGUGA
rnacentral:rRNA from 1 species